rnacentral:rRNA from 1 species
AACGAACGCUGGCGGCAGGCUUAACACAUGCAAGUCGAGCGCCCUAGCAAUAGGGAGCGGCGCCCGGGUGAGUAACGCGUGGGAACGUACCUUUUAGUAGUGAAUAACCAAGGGAAACUUUGGCUAAUGCACUAUACGCCCUUCGGGGGAAAGAUUUAUCGCUCAAAGCUCGGCCCGCGUGAGAUUAGGUAGUUGGCGGGGUAAUGGCCUACCAAGGCUACGAUCUCUAACUGGUCUGUGGGGAUGAUCAGCCACACUGGGAAUGAGACACGGGCCAGGAUCCUACGGGAGGAUGCAGUGGGGAAUAUUGGACAAUGGGGGAAACCCUGAUCCUGCCACGCCGCGUGAGUGACGAAGGCUUUAGGGUUGUAAAGCUCUUUCGCGGAUGAAGAUAAUGACGGUAGUCGGAGAAGAAGCCCCGGCUAACUUCGUGCCAGCAGCCGCAGUAA